AACCACAGAAAAAGGCUAUAUCCAGUCACUGCUAUGCCCUAAGACUUCAGACCCGUGUCUUCAAUCAUAGAUGUGGAUGUUCUCCCAGGAACUAAGCAUCCCCUAGGACUCUAUAUCCAGGAUGGUUCUAGCCUAAGGGAGACACCACAUGGCUUAGAGAGCAUCCCAGGGAUCUUUUAUAUCCUGGCUUGUUCCAGGCCUGGCUCACAGCACAGAACUAUGAACUGUUAAUGAUGAAGUUUUUAGAAGUUGAUGGUACAUAAGUUUCAGGGAAGCAUCUCAAUCAAGUAAACAGACAUGAUGAGUGCAAACAGCAGCCACCUCAUCCUAACAGUGAGACCAGCAACCAGGAGAAUAAUGUUACUGGGAACAGUCAGACUUCUGGUAGCUCCAGCCAAUCUGCUGAUAAUAGCCUUCUUGCCUAACCACAGCAGAUUGAACCAAACUUUGAGCCAAAGGAUGAAGACAGUGGGGAAGGUGACAAUAUUAUUUAAGAUAAUGGUGUGCCACAGAAGACUGCUAAAGCCAUUCCUACCAUCAAAAGCCUGGAAUCGUUAACAUAAACAGAACAAACUCAUUCUUGAGUCUCGAUAGAAUGAUUUUACUUCUUCUAAUUAAGUGAAUUUAGCAGUAGUACAAACAUAGAAUUUGAAACAUAUGCUCCAGAUCAAAAACUCUUAGAAGAUGGAACUAUCAUAACAUUAUGA
rnacentral:lncRNA from 1 species